UAUAUGUUCCCUUCAAGCACGUAAACGAAGGUGGCCUUCAGAUCAUGAGCAGAUCAUUUCUGUGCAGGACUGUUGACUCUUUCUUCUCUUGUUCGUGAAGAAUCCUCUGGAGUGGUCCCUUGUUUGAGGGAGAAAAGCAAGCAUAUCAGACACUCGGAAGAAAACAACUCCCAGCUGAAACUAAGAAAACCUUGUUUUAAGACCUAGUGUGAACUGUGAGGCAGACGAGCUGAAUACCCUCCAGAGAGAUCUGCGCAAUCCCGUGUACUCAGGUUAUCCCCGUUCUUAAAACUGACCACUGCAUGGCACUGUUGCACCAGUGUCGCUGCAGCACCAGCCGAGAGUGCAGGAAAGCAUCUCUAGUUCUUCCACUCGGUGUCUACAGCCCCCUGCUGUAUGAACAGCUCAGAACAGGGCACGUACUGCAAUGUGGGAGCAGGUCCUACCUCUUCCCAUCCUCUUUUCCUCCACCCAAAACCUGGUAAGAGCAUCGUGUUCGACGUGAUGGGAUUUGAAAACUUGGAUAAGAAGUACUUCACAGACUGUCCUUGAAGCUUGCCAUCACAUGGAUGUGCCACAACUCAUUCUUCUGGGCCGGGGCUAGUGUGUAUGAUUAUUCUUUCACAUACAGACAUGUCCUUCCACUGAAGAGAAUGCCUUGACAAAAACAAAGACUGAAGCUAUAAAACUAAUGUGCAACAUCUGGAUGACUGAAUUGUUCCAGUUAAUGAGAUUCAGAGUUUCAUCACAAAUAAAAACCUCCAGCUUUUUCUGGAUCUCCUCAAGGGAGAGCUCUUUCUUCUUUGGAGAGGCUAAAGUUCGUGGUGCUUCCGAGACUGGGGAUGGUGGCUUUAGGAUCAGUUCAAAAGCCUGGCCCGAGGCACGUUUGUUGAUUUGUUUAACUUCCAUGUCUGCACAAUAAAGUGAGAAGCGGUAAGCACUUCAAUACUGUGGUGGUGUUAAGGAGAGAAGCAGUACAAAAAUUAGUGUAGGAUCAGAAAUACAGACAAAUGAUUUAGCAUCUUUGCUGUGGGCAUUUCAAAGAAAAUGGCAGAUUAUGGGCUGAAAAUUGUCCUUGGGAGAAGUACAUCCCAUUUUACCUGCAAUAGUUUAUUUAUACACGAACCCUAUGAAGAUAAAAAUUUACAGCAGUUUUGGAAGCUUACUGGGGUUCUGUGUCAUUUCACACUCCCAGCAAGCGCUGCCCAAACUGAUUAAAUUUUAAGCAUGCUUUCAUCUUUUCUGGGUUUCUUUGGGAACUAUGAUGUCAGCUGCGAAGACGUAAUUCUCACAUGGGAAGCACUUCUCAAGGUACUAGGAAAAAUACAGCACCAUAUGAAAGAUACAGCUUUAGGAGUUUAGCCAGUUGCUAUUAGAAAAAAUAUCAAGCAUCAUGAGUAAUAAUACACAGUCAAUGAGGCAAUAGCCCAAAUCAGCAAAAGAAGUGGUUAAAUAAGCAAAAUAUUCUCUGUCUAACAUUAGGUACCAGGAUGGUGAACUGAGUCACGUCCCAACAUUAGCACUUUAUCUGACCUGCAGGUGAAAGUUACUCACCAUCAUAUUUAUAGAUGUUCAUGUUGCGAGGUUCAGGAUAAAAACAGGAGCAGAUCAGAGAGAGCAUGGACAGCUCCUUCAUCUUUUCCUUGUAAGCUGAAACAAGAGAACUUGUUAGCAAACUCCCCUUCUUCAGCUUCUCCUUAGUGAAUCUCUAACUGCGAUGACUGACCAUGGACCAGCAAAUCUGCUUCAUAACCCACCUGGCAGAUUUAUCCAGAAUAUUUAUUUUGUUUCUUCUGAACAUGGAGUCUUUAUCACAUCAAAUAUGAGAUGUUCGGUACUGAAUAAACUGCUUCUGUUGUCAUGCAUGACCUCAGCCUUGGCUCAAAUGUAUACAGUCCUCUUUCAGUAAAAGAAAGUGAAUCUAGCUACCAGGAAAUGUAUUUAGCAUUGGAAGAGUGCCAUGAUCCCACUAUCUCCUGGCAGGUGGAAAUAAAUGAAGCUCUUACAAAUUUCCAUGACGUCUCCAAAUGCAAUUGGGAACAGCUCUGAAACAUUGCCCAUGUGUUGCCAUAGGCAGAUGCUAAACUCAUUAUCUGCAACAAAUGAAAAUGUCAUCCAGAUAAUUAAAAAUAUAGCCAGAAAUGAGGAUCCAUUUAUAAAAUCCUUAGCAUAAUGUCCUUAAUAUGAGAAAGUACUUGAAACAAAGAAGUAUUUCCCUGUUCAAUUCCUGUACAGUCACUUUGCUUCCAUAUUCAGGCCUACUGAAUAUCAGCUGAUGCAAUAAACACACUUCCAAUUUAC